rnacentral:pre_miRNA from 1 species
UCUUAUGAAUGAGCAAAAAAGGUGGUUUGCUGAGAUAGAACCUACUCUUGGUGAAGAUGGUGUGAA